rnacentral:misc_RNA from 1 species
AAGGAGUAAGCGAGAAGUAAGAUAAAACUCACUUCUCAAAUCCUAGGUCGAACACUUAGGAGCUUGCUGUUCGUUUUACCCAAAAAACCCGAAACUCUUAAAAAGAGUUUCGAGGAUUUUUUGAGGCUCGGCCUUAGCCGAGUUUCAUUAAGAAAAAAGUUUUAAUUAUGAAUUAAAAACUAAGAAUUAAAAAUUGCUUCACACAAGUGAAGCCCAAGUGUUCUUUGAAAACUGCAUAGAGAGAAAAAACAAGUAGGAAAACAAUUUCAUUUGAGAACAACAAAUGGAACUCUCGCAAA